rnacentral:rRNA from 1 species
CGGAACGUACCCAGUCGUGGGGGAUAACUCUCCGAAAGGAGAGCUAAUACCGCAUACGUCCUGAGGGGGAAAGCGGGGGAUCGCAAGACCUCGCGCGAUUGGAGCGGCCGAUAUCGGAUUAGCUAGUUGGUGAGGUAAAGGCUCACCAAGGCGACGAUCCGUAGCGGGUCUGAGAGGACGGCCCGCCACACUGGAACUGAGACACGAUCCAGACUCCUACGGGAGGCAGCAGUGGGGAAUUUUGGACAAUGGGGGCAACCCUGAUCCAGCCAUUCCGCGUGAGUGAAGAAGGCCUUCGGGUUGUAAAGCUCUUUCAGCAGGAACGAAACGGUCGACUUUAAUAAAGUCGUCUAAUGACGGUACCUGCAGAAGAAGCACCGGCUAACUACGUGCCAGCAGCCGCGGUAAUACGUAGGGUGCGAGCGUUAAUCGGAAUUACUGGGCGUAAAGUGUCGUGUAGGCGGUAUUCCGCAUUGUAUUUGAAUCCCGAGUCUUAACCUCGUCGUUGGAUACGAGAUGGGUAAACUUUGAGGAAUGGAGAGGAAAGGGGAACUCAUGGUGAAGCAGUGAAAUGCGUUGAUAUCAUGAGGAACACCGAAGGCGAAGGCACCUUUCUGGCCAUUUUCUGACGCUGAGACACGAAAGCUAGGGGAGCGAAGCAGAUUAGAGACCUGCGUAGUCCUAGCCCUAAACGCAUGUCUGCUAGAUGCCCUGCCGCAAGGUGGGGUGUCGUAAGCUAACGCGUUAAGCAGACCACCUGGGGACUACGAGCGCAAGCUUAAAACUCAAAGGAAUUGACGGGGACCCGCACAACCAGUGGAGCGUGUGGUUCAAUUCGAGACAAAGC